CAAAGCAAUCCCCAUGCCCCCGAAUCUGGCCUUUCCCCUUCCCUGCCUGCUGCUCCAGGUUUCCUGGCUUUCUCACUCUCCUCUCUUUCUCCCAGGGCUAGCCCAGAGGGUGUUUGUUUAAAGUACCUUUCACUAGCAUUCCUUCCCAGUCAUUCUCUCAGCUUUUCACUUUGCAUUACGCCCAGAGCCCUAGAUGCAGUCUCCUUCCCCAGCCAAGCUGCUUUCGAAAACUAACCUCUAUUUUACAUGGGGAACUUUAACCCAUUUGCCUCCAAAAAAAACCCUGUAACAUUGCAGAGAACACUAAAGCCUCCUUGGACCCCUAAAAAUCCAUGUCUACCCUCUUCAAUUCCCCAAAAGAAUGGGAGUCCCUCCUUAUCUUCUGAGAUACAUUCCAAGACCCCCAGUGGCUGCCUGAAAUCACGGUCAACAGCAAACCCUGCAUACCGUACAAAAGCCAUAAACCUGAAGUUACUAAGGUCUGGCUCCAGGAAAUCCUGAAUCCAAGAAGAAUGCUCAGCAGGACAGAAUUGAAGACAACAGUUCAUCAUCUUUCCUUCCCAGGAUCGAGAAUAUCCCAAGGAAAUGCCAAGUAAAAAAAUAAAAUCAGCGAUUGAUUUUGCGUUUGGAGAACUGACCAAGUUUCUUGAUCAAAUGCCGAUUGCAAGUCUGAGUCAAGGUUGAGCAUAUAUAAAGGAAUCCUCCCGGGUACCUCCCCUUGGGGUCUUCACAACAUGUGAUUUUGAAAAACCAGACUCGGACGAUCAGAGACCUCACUGCAGAGGAAAUGAAGGAUGCCUCACUUCCAAUACCUGGCUCCUGCAAACACUCCCUCGGGUCCCAGUGCUGGCGCCAGGCUGGGACCGAGAGAGCUUCCUGUCCCGCCGACCACAGAGGUUAAAUGGAAUCUCCACUCCCGGAUUGAGGAAAGAAAGGCGUCUUCCCCGAUGAUUUUCGCUAGGCUGCUGACCCACCCCGCAGAGCUGCUGGGGCGGCAGACGCCCAGGCCUUCCUGAAUCCCGGCCCCUCUGGUCUAUCCUAGGCCCCCCAGGACUCAGGCCUGCGAAAAUCCCGACCUCUGCCAGGCCCCUCCUCGCAGGCUUUGCGGUUUGCUAACUCGCGGUGCAGCCUUGGGAUGGUGCCUGUUUCUCCAAGUGUAAUGAAGUAGGGCUGGGCGGUGAUUCUCAGAAUCACCCUUGAAGCUUUUCCAAAACCGCUUCCCAAGGUGUCCCCACCGGAUUGGAGAGGAGGUCGGGGGUGAAAAGCGGCAGGAGGCUGACAGCUCGGGCUGGAACCCGGGACUUGGGCUCUCCCGCUUCUGCAGCGACUCCACCCUUCGGCCUGGCCCCGGAGCUCGCCUUCGGCCAGGGUAGGGUAUUGUUGCGCGUCUCCCGCCGGUUCCCUGGUUCCGGGAGGCCGGGCUGGGCUGCCCCACCGGAAUGACUCGUUUCAGCCGGAGCAGCCCAGGCCUAGGGCCCUCCCCGCCCCCACCCCGCCUUCCUCCUACCCCACCCCUGCGAAGCCGGGAAUCGCAGGCCUGCAGCUGGGGCAGCCGGUGGUCAUCCCGCCCACUCCUGCCCCGCCCACAGGACGCGCCCCCUAGGCCACACCGGAGCUCGCUCUGAGGUCUCUGGGCUGUGACUCCGCAGAGCCUCAGUGGGGGAGGGGAGAGAGGAGAGAGAAUAGGAAAGUGGGGUACGAUCUGAGUCGGGGACCUGUUGCCAAGAAACUGGACCCUCGGGCUCUGGCCGUCAGAAGCCACGGUACAGCUGCCUCCCCUACCCCAGGUCGCCCAGCAGAGCUUUCUAGAGCUGGGGAGCUCAGAAGACCCUAGGCGGAGGCAAGAACCUUGGGCCAUGGCUCUGUGGGAAAAGCCCUCGGGUGCCCGGGGUGGAGAUGGUUGGGUAACUGCCCUGCCACUCCCAUGCUGCACGGCCUCGGCCCAGUGCCACCACCUCUCAGGGCCGCCGUUUCAGGCUCCAGAUGGGGCGGCACUGGGUGGCGGCGGGCCCCAACCCCUGCCCCAAAUCUCUAAGGAGGGGUCCAGCCUGGCGAGCCCAGAUCCAGGCUGCGGCGUAUGCGCGAGGCUGGGAGCUGCAAGAACCCGCCCAGAGCCCAGGGUGAGCGUCUGGGCCCUCGAGACUAGUGCGUCUGAGCCCCUCGGGGGCUCCAGCUGUGUCCCGGUGGGGGCCAGAGCAGGAGGGAGGCAGCCCCAGCCUUUUCUGGGCUGCAGCCCUGAGGACUGGACAGGCGCCACGUCCUCUCCGGGCCUCCAAGACGCAGAUUAGAAGCCCAUUGCUGCUGGGAAGAUGGGCACCCCACGUCUCCCCAAAUGGCCUCCCCAUGUGAAACCUGGAUGAGACACUCAGGCACCUUUUAGGCCCCCCAGCGAAAACUGAAAGCCUGAGCCCACUCAGAAGCUCUGCAGGAUUGAGUCAUCAGAGGAAUGCUGAUCUGGAAGUACCAAGACCAGAAGACACCCGCAAAAACCGCGGGCACCGGAGAGCAAGUGCAGCUUAAUCUCCAGGCGUGGUUUAGAUGGAAAGCAGCCUGGAGACCACCAGUUAAAAGAACCGCGAGCAGAGCGCACUGGACUGGCAUCAGCAGAGUGAGUGUGAGACCGUCCUGCCCCUUAAUCCUGUGUGACCUUGGUCCAUUUAUUUAGUUUCCGAGCCUCACAGUGUUCUCAUUCCUGAAAAUACUCUGCCCCACCUCCGGGCUGCAGUGAGAACAAAAGGAGACUAUAAACAUGACUUUUUGUCACUUUUGGAGUCCCACGCUGGGGAAAGAUUUUCCUAGCACCUGGAGAUUUUCUUUACCACCAGCUGCCAAGAUUGAUGGGAAGGAGACAGCCCCAUCCCAGAAAGAAGACAUCUUAAAUCGGAAUUUUAUUUUUCCUCCUUAAAAAGACACUCUAAUACUGGAGAAGUGUAAAAAUUAAGGAGUCGUUAGAAGCCAUUUGUUGUUUUAACUUUUUUUGAGACAGGACCUUACUCUGUCACCCAGGCUAGAGUGAGGUGGCACGAUCAUUGCUCAUUGUAGCCUCCAACUCCUGGACUCAAACCUCCCUUCUCGGCCUCCCAAAUACCUGGGACUAGAGGUCCACCAGGCACACUAGCACACAUCUGUAGUCACGGUACUUUAGAGGCCAAGAAGGGAGUUCUCACUAUUUUGCCCAGGCUGGUAUCCAACUCCUGGGAUUAAGCCAUCCUCCUGCCUCAGCCUCCCAAAGUGUUGGGAUUAUAGGUGUCAACCACUGCUUCCAGUCUGUUGUUUUAACUAUCUAUCAAAGAAAUAGAUGGAGGUGGAUGGGGAUGCCAAGUGCUUUAGAUUAGACUCGAAAGAGUUAACAGCAUAGAUUACAGAAUCACACAUACCCAAAUUGGAAUCUUGCCUCGACCCUUUACUACCAUUGUUACAUUAUAUUAGUGACUUAACCUCUCUUUGCUUCAGUUUCUUCAUCUAUAAAAUGAAGAAAAUGGCAUCAACCUAUGGGGUUAUUGAGAAGACGAAAUGCAAUAGUGAGUGUAAAAGUGCCUGUGGUAAUACACAAUAAAUGCUAGCUAGUUUUGGUUUCCAUCCUUCUUUCCUACCAAUUUUUAUGGUUAAAUAUUUGUCAACAUGCAGAAAAGUUGAAAGAAUCAUACAGUGAACACCCAUGCAUGUUCCACCUAGCUUCUGCAUUUACAUGUUUACUCUAUUUGCCUUAUCAUGUAUCUGUUUAUCUAUCUUUCUUUCCCUCUAUCCAUAUAUCAAUCCAUCUGUUCUGGUUACAACUGUUAUGUAACAAAUUCCUCAAAACUUAGUAACUUGAGAAAAUAGCCAUUUUUCUCAUGUUCAUGGAUUCCAUGAGUUAGGACUUCAGACAGGUUGGCUUGUUGCUGCUCUAGGAUGUCUGGGGUCUCAGCUGGGAAGACUUGAUGCCUGUGGGCAGGAAUCAUCCUGAGGCACCUUUCACGCACAUGUCUGGGAGUUACCAGCAUCGUGCCUGCAUAUGAUCUUGUCAUGAAACUCAGGCUUCCUCCCAGUAUGGUAGCCUCAAGGUAGCUGAACUUCUGGCAAACGAGGCCAGAAGGUUUAUAACUCAACCUUGCAAGUUACAUAGCAUUGCUACCUAUUGGUCAAAGCAGCCAUAGAUUCAAACGGCAGAAUUAUACUCUACUUCUUGCUGAUGAUGUGGCAGGGUCAUUUUGUAGAUCUGGGGGACAGGAACUCUUGUGGCCAUCUUUGGAGGUGCCACAUUUGCCCCAUUGUUCACAACAAUGCUUCUGUAAUAUGCGCAAAAUCUCAUUCCAUUAAAUCACCCAUUGCCAGA